rnacentral:rRNA from 1 species
CAUAACCCCGGGAAACUGGGGAUAAUACCCGAUAUGUGGGGAUGGCUGGAAUGCAUCCUCAUUGAAAUGCUCCGGCCCCUAAGGUGGGUUUGGCGGCUAAUUAGGUAUUUGGGGGGGUAAGUGCCCACUAACCUACUACUCUGUCCGGUUGGGGAAACCAAAACCCCGGAAAGGGAACUGAAAACCAGGUCCCGGGCCCUCCGGGGGACACAGGGCCCAAAACUUCCCCAUGGUGAGCAAUCCGAACAGGGAACACCCAGUGCCCACUCUUAAAUGUGGGGUUUUUCUGACCUGUAAAAAGUUUCAUGAAUAGGAGCUGGGCAAGACGGGGCCCGCCGCCCGCGGAAACCCCGGCAGCUCGAGUGGUGGCCGUUUUUAUGGGGUCUAAGGGGUCUGUACCCGGCCGGAUAAUUCUCUUGAAAAUCUGGGCACCUAACCUGUCAGGCUUUUCAGGAGAUACUGUCUGGGCUCGAGGCCGGGAGGAGGUUGAGAGGGUACUUUCAGGGGUAGGGGUGAAAUCUUGUAAUCCCUGGAGGGACCACCAGUGGCGAAGGGCGUCUCACCAGAACGGGACUGACGGCACGGACGAAAGCUAGGGGCACGACGGAUAGAUACCCGGGUAGUCUAGCGUAACGAUACUCGCUAGUGUCGCACGUGCGACGUGUCGUGCGUAGGCAGCGUGAGCGAGCACUGGGAGUACGUCGCAGCUGAACUAAAUGAUGCGGGGAGCACACACCGGUGGAGCUGCGUUAUGAUCACGCGAAUCUACGGACGACAGCAUAUGAGGCAGCUGAAGACUUGCUGAUAGCUGAAAGUGGUGCAU